UACAGAGGGUGCAAGCGUUAAUCGGAAUUACUGGGCGUAAAGGGCGCGUAGGCGGAUGACUAAGUUAGGUGUGAAAUACCUGGGCUUAACCUAGGGGUUGCACUUAAUACUGGUUUGUCUAGAGUAGAGUAGAGGGAAGUGGAAUUUCCGGUGUAGCGGUGAAAUGCGUAGAUAUCGGAAAGAACACCAGUGGCGAAGGCGGCUUCCUGGACUCAUAUUGACGCUGAGGCGCGAAAGCGUGGGGAGCAAACAGG
rnacentral:rRNA from 1 species